rnacentral:rRNA from 1 species
UGGGGAAUUUUGGACAAUGGGGGAAACCCUGAUCCAGCCAUCCCGCGUGUGCGAUGAAGGCCUUCGGGUUGUAAAGCACUUUUGGCAGGAAAGAAACGUCAUGGGUUAAUACCCCGUGAAACUGACGGUACCUGCAGGAUAAGCACCGGCUAACUACGUGCCAGCAGCCGCGGUAAUACGUAGGGUGCAAGCGUUAAUCGGAAUUACUGGGCGUAAAGCGUGCGCAGGCGGUUCGGAAAGAAAGAUGUGAAAUCCCAGAGCUCAACUUUGGAACUGCAUUUUUAACUACCGGGCUAGAGUGUGUCAGAGGGAGGUGGAAUUCCGCGUGUAGCAGUGAAAUGCGUAGAUAUGCGGAGGAACACCGAUGGCGAAGGCAGCCUCCUGGGAUAACACUGACGCUCAUGCACGAAAGCGUGGGGAGCAAACAGG